rnacentral:tRNA from 1 species
GGAGAGAUGGCCGAGCGGCUGAAGGCGCUCCCCUGCUAAGGAGUAUGGGUUAAUAGCCCAUCGAGGGUUCGAAUCCCUCUCUCUCCGCCA